GGACUACAGGGGUUUCUAAUCCUGUUUGCUCCCCACGCUGUCGCGCCUCAGUGUCAGCUACUGCCCAGCAGGCCGCCUUCGCCACCGGUGUUCUUCCGGAUCUCUACGCAUUCCACCGCUACACCCGGAAUUCCGCCUGCCUCUACAGUGCUCAAGCCCAGCAGUAUCAAUGGCCGACGCGGAGUUGAGCCCCGCGCUUUCACCACUGACUGACCGGGCCACCUACGCGCCCUUUACGCCCAAUGAUUCCGGACAACGCUCGCACCCUCCGUAUUACCGCGGCGGCUGGCAC
rnacentral:rRNA from 1 species